CUUAUCUUAGAAUUCCUCAAGAUUUCUCAAGAAAGACUUUCUGAAUCUUAAUUUGCCUUAUCUUAGUAUUCCUCAAGAUUUCUCAAGAAAGACUUUCUGAAUCUUGAUUUUCCUUAUCUUAGUAUUCCCCAAGAUACCCCAAGAAAGACUUCCUGAGUCUUGAGGGCCCUGUCUUUGAAGCCUGAUAUUCUUUAGUUCUGAUACUUUCUCAAGAAAGUCAUUUUGCAAAUUUGAAUACACGAAGUUGGAAGCCGGCUUGAUUUUGUUGAACGAGCUCCAUUUUGCUCUGUGCUGCCCCCUUGUUAUUUCUGUCACAAAGUUUUGUUUCGGCAGUUUGAGACUUUGUGAGUCAACGAUUCGGAAUUUCCUGCAAGUUUUUCAAGUUAUAAGGACAAAGUUUGUCCUGAGAAGGAACUCCCCAUUGCCCGUAUUACGUCUGAGUUGCCAGUAGCGAGAAAUCAUAUCACCCAUAUUAGAAUAGUCCCAUUUCAAUUGAGGGUUCGGCUAAGGCAAGCUCAAUUCUCCUAACCGAACCACACGAUCCAGAUUCUUUGUUAUAUCAGCCAACAGGGCCUCCGUAGGUAAAGAUGUUAGAAGCCUCAGAGACACACCUGUGACAGCAAGGUCAAAGGUUAGGUCCUUAACCUGUAGCAGAGAUCAAAGGUUAGGUCCUUUACCUGUAGCAGGGAGGUCAAGGGUUAGGUCCUUUACCUGUGGCAGGGAGGUCAAAGGUUAGGUCCUUUAUCUGUGGCAGGGAGGUCAAAGGUUAUGCAGAAAGUGUGGAUCUAAGGCAUGAGCACAGAGUGGGCCACAGCAAUGCAAUUUCUUGGUUCUUCGAUUUUAAUUUGCAGACUGAACUUUUAGAAAAUUGAUAAACAGGCUCCCUAUGGUGGUUUCAAAAUUGCUACUAAGGAGCCACCAAGUCAGCAUACAGGACAGGUGGACUGAAUAUCUGUUUGAAUGUAUGGAAACAAUUUACCAAAAUAUGAGCAUUUUGGGGUUGAUUCUUAUUCUAUUUUUGUUCUUUUCUUCCUCACAAUCAAAAAUCUGCAGAAAGUAAAUCCGAGAGUCUAGAAACUGCGUUGUGGUGGCCUACCGGUAGUAGAUGUAAUACACAGUUCGAGUUGUUCCAUUCCACACUGUAGGUCGGUGUAAAGUCGUGGUGCGACGAUACCUCUUUUUGCAAUGUUUGUUGCAGUGAAGGACGAUUCCUAAGGAAACUAACAAAAGUGUUACAAUUUUGUACAGUCAGCUGGUGCAGUAAGGAACCAAUCAGGGAGGCUGAUUGGGUCACAUGAUCACGGAGUACUCAAAUUGUUUUUUGCAAUGUUCGAAGAGAGAUCAAAUGUUAAUUUAUUUCCAGGUAGAAAUCGGAGAGUAGGCUUGUUCGCAGAUGGAAUUUAUAUGGAUGUUGUUGUACAAAUGAGAGAUGGUGCUGACCGACCGUUAGGAGUCAACCGUAGUUUGUAAGUCUGUAGGUUUAGUAGCACCUUAGCCUUCGCACAGUUGAAAGGAAGAGUUUCAGCCUCACGGAGUGUCACAUGGGGUGCAACCGUCGUUUGUUUUCAACGAAAAGCAAAAAGUAGACGCUACUCACAAGUGUGCAACGUUGGGAGCCUGUCCGUAGAUUGAUUCUGUACAUAAAAAGUAAAUUUGGGUGGGUGAAUCCCCAGAGAGCUGAGCUGCUGUAGACAAGUUUCUUUCUUUUUUUUUCUUUCCCACAAAACUUUCCAAACUCAGUUUUUUUUGCCGAAAAGUGUUACAUUCAAUUUGAAGUUUCCACACCAACGUGUGAUGUAACGGAGCCUGUGAUUGGGUGAACAGCCCGUCGCCAUGGUGACUCUGUUAUGUAACGGAGUCUGUGAUUGGGUAGAGUCAGCCCGUAGUCAUGGAAACUCAGAGAUGACAUACCUCCUAACGCUUUGCUCAGGUGUAAAGAAGACGUCCGCCUUGCCGUGUACAAAAGCAAAUCUUGAAGAAGUCAUGUACAGUGAGUGGGAAGAAGAAGAACACUUAAGAAAUCCUUUGUUGGAAGGUUUAAGAUGCUUUUUUUUAUUACAGAUGACUACCUUGUAGACGUAGUGUUGCUUUUCUGGCUUUGAGGGCGACGUUUUGUCUGCACAGUUUGUGCCAUCCGGGACGGACGUCGGGAAAAAGAACAGGGUAAAAACGGGCCGGUCGGCUCGGGGUUAGAGGUCAGACAGCGUCAGACAUGGAGCUGCAAGUUGCUAGGAUACGGAGGGUUGCUAGGAUACGGUUGCCAGGAUACAGAGGGUUGCCAGGACACCUUGUGCCAUCCCAGCUGUUAGGGUAUCAGACUGUAGUUCAUCCCCAGUGGUCUCCCACAGGCGUUCAUAAACCCACGGAUAUCUUGGCUUUCUGGGAGCCCAAUGCCUUUUUUUUAUA